AUUGAACGCUGGCGGCCGGCCUAACACAUGCCAGUCGAGCGGAGCGGCGUACGGGUGAGUAAUGCCUAGGAAUCUGCCUGGUAGUGGUGGAUAACGUCCGGAACCGGGCGCUAAUACCGCAUACUAUUAGAUGAGCCUAGGUCGGAUUAGCUAGUGGGUGGUGUAAAGGCCUACCAAGGCGACGAUCCGUAACUGGUCUGAGAGGAUGAUCAGUCACAGUGAAACUGAUACACGGUGCAGACUCCUACGGGAGGCAGAAGUGGGUAAUAUUGAAAAAUGGGCAAAAGCCUGAUACAGCCAUGCCGCGUUUGUGAAGAAGGUCUUCGGAUUGUAGAGCACUUUAAGUUGGGAGGCGUUACCAACAGAAUAAGCACCGGCUAACUUCGUGCCAGCCGCCGCGGUAAUAC
rnacentral:rRNA from 1 species